AAGAGCUCAGAUUUGAAAUCGUGCUUUGCGGCACGAGUUGUAGAUUGCAGGUUGGAGUCUGUGUGGAAGGCGGUGUCCAAGUCCCUUGGAACAGGGCGCCCAGGAGGGUGAGAGCCCCGUGGGAUGCCGGCGGAAGCAGUGAGGCCCUUCUGACGAGUCGAGUUGUUUGGGAAUGCAGCUCCAAGCGGGUGGUAAAUUCCAUCUAAGGCUAAAUACUGGCGAGAGACCGAUAGCGAACAAGUACUGUGAAGGAAAGAUGAAAAGCACUUUGAAAAGAGAGUGAAACAGCACGUGAAAUUGUUGAAAGGGAAGGGUAUUGCGCCCGACAUGGGGAUUGCGCACCGCUGCCUCUCGUGGGCGGCGCUCUGGGCUUUCCCUGGGCCAGCAUCGGUUCUUGCUGCAGGAGAAGGGGUUCUGGAACGUGGCUCUUCGGAGUGUUAUAGCCAGGGCCAGAUGCUGCGUGCGGGGACCGAGGACUGCGGC
rnacentral:rRNA from 1 species